rnacentral:rRNA from 1 species
UACGUAGGGUGCGAGCGUUAAUCGGAAUUACUGGGCGUAAAGCGUGCGCAGGCGGUGAUGUAAGACAGUUGUGAAAUCCCCGGGCUCAACCUGGGAACUGCAUCUGUGACUGCAUUGCUGGAGUGCGGCAGAGGGGGAUGGAAUUCCGCGUGUAGCAGUGAAAUGCGUAGAUAUGCGGAGGAGCACCGAUGGCGAAGGCAAUCCCCUGGGCCUGCACUGACGCUCAUGCACGAAAGCGUGGGGAGCAAACAGG